rnacentral:rRNA from 1 species
AUGAUUGACACAAAUUGUUCCAUCAUGAGUUGGAACAUCCUAGGUUUAAACACGCCGACGCGACGCGCAGUAGUUUGUGAAACGGCAGAAGCUCAUAGGCUAGCUAUCCUCUGCCUCCAGGAGACUAAAAUCGAAGCCUGGAGUCGCCCCCUGGUCAAGUACGUCGGCAGAGCAAGGCUAACUGAUUGCGUCGUGCUCCCCGCCUCCGGCACCAGGGGCGGUGCUGCAAUCUUCUGGGACAACUCUGUAGUAGAUGUGCAAUCGCAUGCUAUCGGCCUCUUCUCCAUCACUGCUCGCGUCACCCUCAGGACAACUUCAACAACGUUUUGGCUGACCACGGUGUACGGCCCCGUCGACGAUAGUAGAAAGGAUGAGUUCUUGUGA